rnacentral:misc_RNA from 1 species
ACAAGAAAAGUCUCUGAUCAUUUUGGAACAAUUUUCAUUAUAAAAGGGAAAAUAAAAAUCUUAAAUUAGCUAUUAUAUGCAACUGAAAACAUUCAACAAUGCAGGUAAGAAGCAUAGAGUUGAAUCAUACCAAAAGGCACAACGAAACUGAGGAACACUAUGUCACUACCUCAAAUUCUCGUAGAAGAGGAAUCAAAAUCAUCAGGAGCAACCCGAGCAAUCCAGUUGCUGAGAGUUCGCUUAAUAUCCGAGUGAUUAACAUAAGCCAACUCAUACAUACUACA